UGUUCUUUCUCUUCAAAUUAA
ensembl:piRNA 21ur-11058 ncRNA